ensembl:lncRNA
GGCUGAGCUGUCAACUGAUCACCACCUGGUGGUGAGUUGGAUUCGAUGGCGGGGGAAAAAGCUGGACAGACCUGGCAGGCCCAAACGCAUAGUGAGGGUCUGUUGGGAACGUUUGGCGGAGGCCCCUGUCAGAGAGGUCUUCAACUCCCACCUCCGACAGAGCUUCAACCAGGUCCCGAGGGAGGUGGGGGACAUUGAGUCCGAAUGGACUAUGUUCCGCUCCUCCAUUGUCGGUGCGGCUGUUCGGAGCUGCGGCCAUAAGGUCUCCGGUGCCUGUCGCGGCGGCAAUCCCCGAACACGGUGGUGGACACCGGAAGUAAGGGAUGCCGUCAAGCUGAAGAAGGAGUUCUAUCGGGCCUGGCUGGCUCAUGGGACUCCUGAAGCAGCUGACGGGUACCGACGGGCCAAACGGAGCGCGGCUCUGGCAGUCGCCGCGGCAAAAACUCGGGCUUGGGAGGAGUUCGGUGAGGCCAUGGAGGAAGACUUUCGGUCGGCCUCAAAGAGAUUCUGGCAAACCGUCCGGCGACUCAGAGGGGGGAAGCGGUGUUCCACGAACACUGUUUACAGUGGAAGUGGUGCGCUGCUGACCUCAGCUGAGGAUGUUCUCGGGCGGUGGAAGGAGUACUUUGAGGAUCUCCUCAAUCCCUCCGACACGCCUUCCGUAGAGGAAGCUGAGGCUGGGGACUCGGAGGGGGACUCGUCCAUUACCCUGGCUGAAGUUGCUGAGGUAGUCAAAAAACUCCUCGGUGGCAAGGCUCCGGGGGUGGAUGAGAUCCGCCCCGAGUUUCUCAAGUCUCUGGAUGUUGUGGGGCUGUCUUGGCUGACACGCCUCUGCAGCAUCGCGUGGAGUGCGGGAACGGUGCCUCUGGACUGGCAGACCGGGGUGGUGGUCCCUCUUUUUAAGAAGGGGGACCGGAGAUUGUGUUCCAACUACAGGGGGAUCACACUCCUUAGCCUCCCUGGGAAAGUCUAUGCCAGGGUACUGGAAAGGAGAAUCCGACCGAUAGUCGAACCUCGGAUUCAGGAGGAGCAAUGCGGUUUUCGCCCUGGCCGUGGAACACUGGACCAGCUCUAUACCCUCACUAGGGUGUUGGAGGGUUCGUGGGAGUUUGCCCAACCAGUCCAUAUGUGUUUUGUGGACCUGGAGAAGGCAUUCGACCGUGUCCCUCGUGGCAUCCUGUGGGGGGUGCUUCGGGAUUAUGGGGUUCGGGGCUCGUUGCUACGGGCUGUUCGUUC